rnacentral:lncRNA from 1 species
AUUGCUUCACUUUCUAUUCUUUUCGUUUGGUUCGGGGUAAAAUAAGAACUAGUUAUAAUUUUAGGAAUAAGGUUAAAUUCAGGGUUAAGGUGGAGUUAGAGUAAUUUUGUGUUUGGCUGAGAAUUGAGUUUAGUCCAGAUAUAAGUAAAAUAGUGUUUAGUUGGAAUAGGUGGGAUAAGAAGAAUAGUGGGUUAUUAUAAAUAGAAAAUAAUUUUGUCCCAAUUUUUAUAUUUGAAUUUAAAUUUAAAAUUUAAAUAAUUAAAAAUAAUAAUUUUAAAUUUUAAAUUAAAAAUUAAAAAUUAAAAAUUAAAAUCUCUAUUUUUAAAUCUCAAAUUUAAAGUUACAUGUAUAAAUUGUCAAAUUUAAAAUUUAAAGAAUUAAAAAUAAUAAUUUAAAAACUCAAAAUUAAAAUCUAUAUUUUUAAAUCUCAAAUUAAAAAAUUUAAAGUUACAAAUAUAAAAUAUCAAAUUUAAAAUUUAAAUAAUUAAAAUAAUAAUUUUAAAUUUUAAAAUUUAAAUAUUAAUUUUAAAUUUUAAAUUUUUAAAUUUUUAAAAUUUUAAAUUUUAAAAUUAAAAUUUAUAUUUUUAUUAAAAAUU